rnacentral:rRNA from 1 species
GACAGAGGUGCCAAGCGUUAGGCGGAAUCACUGGGCUUAAAGCGCGUGUAGGCGGGUCGUUAAGUGUCUUGUGAAAUCCCACGGCUCAACCGUGGAACUGCUGGGCAUACUGACGAUCUUGAGGCACUCAGGGGCUGUCGGAACAAAUGGUGGAGCGGUGAAAUGCGUAGAUAUCAUUUGGAACGCCAACGGUGAAAACAGACAGCUGGGGGUGUCCUGACGCUGAGACGCGAAAGCCAGGGGAGCGAACGGG